AAAAACAGGAAGUGUCACAUUCAGAUGCAGAUCAUGCUUCAGAUUGAAUCAACUAUAAGGAAGUCAUGUGUCAUUGGAUUGUUUUAAACUAGCUAAUGUUACUUAAUUUGCAUGAAUUAUGAUAAAUAGUCUAAUCCAGAACUACAGACAAGGAAGAAAGAAACAAGGAAAUGCCUAAAGUCCAGGUUAGAUCUCUAAUAGAGGCUGGUUUUUCUACCAAACAUCAUCAUCAUGUAGGAGUUAGAUCUACUCUGUUUAGGACGACCAUGUGUCUGCUCGAGAUGAGCUGCUGAGGUCUGGUACUGAGGUGGAUAACAGAGAGAGGAGAGAUGGAUGAUGUGAUCUCUGUCAGCUCGGACAGUGAGAAAGAAGACUCUGAUGUGGAGAUCAUCGGUUCCUUCAGUGAUGUCAUGACCAGAGCUGAUGACGUGAUGACCAGAGCAGCUGAUGACGUCAUGACCAGAGCAGCUGACCCCCUGCCUCUCACAGCUGUGCGGGUUGACGUCGGUGCCGUCAACGUCAACGUCCCAACGCUUUAUAUUGACCUCACAGAUCCCAGAUGGACUCUUCCACAGCUGAAGUUGCACAAAAGACCGAAUUCCACUGCCUUGACGGUCGACUUGACUGAGACCGACGUAGCAAAUGGGAAGAUUCAGAAGACGGAGAAUUUGCCACCGAAUGAUUCUCAAAUGAAAGAAGAGAGUGCAAAUAAAAAUCAAACUUCAAACAAAGAUGAUUGUAACUCACAGCAAAGCUUCUCAAGAGACCCAACUAUGUUUGCACUACAGCAGGACUUAAAGCCAAAGCAGAUACAUCUGGAUUCUCAAACACAACCCCAAAAGCAGACCGAUGAAGCACAUCAUCGGACAGCAGUUGUAAGAUUAACACGAGUGCCUUUUCUUGAAACUAACGUCGCUGAACUGAAAACGCCAAAGUAUUCUGUCUAUUUAAACAGUGAUCGUGAUCGUAAAAAAAUGUCACUGCACCUCAGGCAACUAAUCGAUAACAGCGAAGCACCAGAGUGCAUUAGUAAUUGGAGUAGAACUGCCGAUCCUCACAUGGAUCCCUCACCGGAUGAGUCUCCUCCUAAGGUGGUUGAAUCGCUUGUCAGACAGGAAGAACAAGGGAACAGUCAUGAACUUCCUAGCACACCGUUAAAUGUUAAAAUAUCUCAGCCUCCACAGAGCCCAGCUGAUUGUCCCUGCUCAGAUGAAGGGGGCUCUGUUGCGACCUCAAAGGAGCACGGCACUCGUGAAGAUGAGUCUUCUUCAUCCGGAGAUAAAGCACAGGAUUCCUCACCAAAAGAAGUCAUCUGCUCCAAACUGCAACAACUGGAAUUGGACAAAGCAGAAUCUAGACAAAGCUCUGAUCACUCAUGCGCCCCCUCUCCCACCACCGGACCAAACCCUUCUGAGCCUUUUGAUCUUGACUCUCUGUCCCACACAAGUCCCAUAUCUCAUAACCUUACGAGCCAAGUCGACCCACCACCCACCUCUGAGCCUACACCGGCUGAGGAUACGUCUGAUUGGCGAUCGGAGGUGGUGGUUAAGGCUGAUGAGGCUUCAAACAGCUCUGACAUCUUGUGCUGGAGCGUCCCAAGUGUACCUGCUUUGUCAAAUGAGGACAUGGAUGACGGAUCUGGGACCGGGACGUGCAGAGGGGAUCUGGGCAUUGACAGUCCAGUGUCUUUUCUUUGGCAAGACGGGAGCGAUGGAGACGAGGUGAACAAAGACAGCAGAUUUGAUAUGGACUUCAGGGCGGCCAGUAGAGAGGACAGGCAAUAUGUGUGCCCAGUUACACUCAGGAAAAUAAUGUCUGGACCAGCUCAAGCCCUGCUCGAUGAGGAAGAUAAAGGUUUUGGAACUCCAGAGGUGCUAUGCCGUCAGAGCCUGAGCCUGGUUUACAGUACCAUCGAUGAGAGUUACCCAGAGGGCACUUUGCAGCUCUUGUCUGACCUGCUGCAGCCAGGUUACUAUCCCCCCCGAGAUAUCACCUCCCACCUGCUGCGUGGCAUUCUGCUCGACCCACAGUGUCCUUAUCACCUGUGCGUGCAGGCCUUUAAUCUGCUGAUGAGGACACAGAGACACCACAAUGCUGAUACUACCACAGUUCCGUGGGACUGGGAAUUGUUGACCUCAGUCAUGGCCACUCAGGACCACGCAAAGAGACAUCCAUGGGAGGUUGUGCGUUUGCUUCUGGACUAUGUUGUGCAGACAUUGGAGGACGACUUCCAGGCCAAACGCUCCAUCUCUGCCCUCCACCAGUCCAUCGCCAAGGCAACAUUGUCGUGUGAUCAGCAUUUCCCUUGCGUCAGGGAGGUCAUCAAGUGGCUCUUUUCUGCCAUCAUGAAAUCAACAGAGCAUGGAGAGAGUAGAGAAGCAGCCAGAGAGAGAGAUGAACAAAUCAGAUUGGUGUCCGUCUUCCAGAGGAUGCUGUCUUUGGCUCUGGAGGUGGACCGUUCUCCAGCUCUAAACUCUGCCAAGCUAUCGCAGGAGCUCUUCCAUAUGCUCAUCGGCAAUAUACGUCUGCGAGCACACAGGAUGUUGUUGCUAGAGAGCCUGCAGAGCAAGCUGCUGAGAUGUAAGCUGUUGGAACAUCUGUUGGACUACGCAUGCCCACGGAAAAUCCCUCUGCCCAUGUCGCUCAGUCUUCUGCUUCACUUUCUGAAGUACUGCACCCUGGCGCCAGACCCUUCGGUGAAUAUCACUCUUUACCUCAUCGGCCAGCCUUUGCUCUUCACAGAUGUAGUGGAUGGUACUGAAAGGUGGCAGAGGUGGGAAGAGUUGGUCCAUCUUCUCUGGAUGUUGCUGCUCAGCUACAACAAAGCGAUGAAAGCCACUGGAGAGGGGUUAAAGAGCCGGCUCUGGAGCCGCAGGUUGCUGACUCCUGAACUAGUCAAAUGUCUUUCCAUUUCUUCUCUGCUUAACCCAAAGGUGUAUAUCCGUCUUUGGCUCAUAUCUGGUAAUUAUUAUUGAUGUAUUCUACUGAAUAAAUGAAUGGAUUUCUGUUAUGCUAUAUGCCAAAUUUGAGUUUUACAAAAUGUAAUAUUGGUGAACUUUUUUUUUUUUUUUUUAUUCAAAUACUCACCUGUAUUGUCAUUAAAGUGUAUUUGUGAUAGUCCUUUUAACCGCUGAUUUCAAUAGAAAUGAUCUCUUCUGGAGAAUCCCUCUAAGACAUGAGUUAUAUUAACUAUUUGAUACCCGAUGUACCUUAUCCCUGAAUAUUAAAACAUUUCAACAACACGUAAUAAAUUACUUCACUUGACUCU